rnacentral:rRNA from 1 species
GACGAACGCUGGCGGCGUGCCUAAUACAUGCAAGUUGAGCGCUGAAGGUUGGUACUUGUACCAACUGGAUGAGCAGCGCACGGGUGAGUAACGCGUGGGGAAUCUGCCUUUGAGCGGGGGACAACAUUUGGAAACGAAUGCUAAUACCGCAUAAAAACUUUAAACACAAGUUUUAAGUUUGAAAGAUGCAAUUGCAUCACUCAAAGAUGAUCCCGCGUUGUAUUAGCUAGUUGGUGAGGUAAAGGCUCACCAAGGCGAUGAUACAUAGCCGACCUGAGAGGGUGAUCGGCCACAUUGGGACUGAGACACGGCCCAAACUCCUACGGGAGGCAGCAGUAGGGAAUCUUCGGCAAUGGACGAAAGUCUGACCGAGCAACGCCGCGUGAGUGAAGAAGGGUGUCGGAUCGUAAAACUCUGUUGGUAGAGAAGAACGUUGGUGAGAGUGGAAAGCUCAUCAAGUGACGGUAACUACCCAGAAAGGGGCGGCUAACUACGUG